GUUUUUAUAAUUUAAUUAAAAUAUUGGUCUUGUAAAUCAAAAAUAAGAAAUUUCUUUUAAAACU
rnacentral:tRNA from 1 species